AAGUGGACCAGGAUGGGAGAACCCUGAGCCCGAGGGGCCUGUCCCGGCGGUGCCAGCCCAGCAGGGGGGCUCGAUCUUGUCGCCCCACGUCUGCGAACAUGAAGACACAGGGGAGACGGAUUGUGUCACAGCGCAGCAUAUUUCAAUCCGGGAGGCGAUUUGUCAUCAGAAACAUUUCUUCUGUUUUUAGAUUUCAUCGAAUGUAUACAUGACAUGUAGAGUCAAAAAGCAGAUUUGCGCACUCAAAUGGUUCCAGUCAUACUGAGCUUUCAGAUGGCUGAAAGGAACCUCAGUCUUCAAAUUUAGAUGUAAAUCAGUUAAAGUCAAAUGAAGUAAAAGAAAUUCCAUUCUUCAGUGGCAUUAGCCACCUUUCUAGCCCUCAAUAGCCCCGUGGGUAGCAGCUGCCACCGUCCCGGAGAGCACAGGUCCAGAGGCCAACAACUAUCCUGCCUGCUUUUGGAGGUUCUUUCCCCUCACCCCUUUGCUAAGCAAUUACUGAGGUGGUCUCGAGGGACACUCUGCAGGGGUCCUCUGCACGUAACUCCUCAGGAAGAGAGAUGGAUUCCAAAGCCCUCACAUCUAACUGCCUUGGGAUGCCAGUUGCUCCACGGGGAUCUUCAGCAGCCCCCUGCCCAGAGCUGUGGGCCAGGCAUGGAAGGAGGCGAGCAGAUGAGGAAACGCCCAUCAGAAGGCUCUCAGGACCCAAGCUCAACUGCAGGCAUUGUUUCCAAAACCUCAACAAUAGGUGAGUGUAAACACACAGGUCCUAGAUCCUGGAGCAUGCAAACUUGUCCUAGAAAUGCGCUGGAGGGCAGAAGAUGGCCUCAUGAGCUCGUCUACCGCCUGCCAGGUAUUUACACAGGGAUAAAAAUCUGUUUUUUGUUUGCUUGUUUCCACUGCAUUUAUUACUAAUAUAAAAAAAUGUUGAAAAGAAAAAAAAAUUCAUUCUCAGUUC